rnacentral:rRNA from 1 species
UACGAAGGGAGCUAGCGUUGUUCGGAAUCACUGGGCGUAAAGCGCACGUAGGCGGAUGUGUCAGUCAGGGGUGAAAUCCCGGGGCUCAACCUCGGAACUGCCUUUGAUACAGCACGUCUCGAGUCCGGAAGAGGUGGGUGGAAUUCCUAGUGUAGAGGUGAAAUUCGUAGAUAUUAGGAAGAACACCGGUGGCGAAGGCGGCCCACUGGUCCGGUACUGACGCUGAGGUGCGAAAGCGUGGGGAGCAAACAGG